rfam:Candidatus Staskawiczbacteria bacterium RIFOXYA12_FTLL_37_10 rifixya3_full_scaffold_619, whole genome shotgun sequence.
CAGCAGGUCAGGUUAUAAGCGAAUGGCGGAUGCCUUGGGAUAUUGAUGCGAUGAAGGACGUGGCGUGCCUGCGAUAAGCAUCGGGGAGGUGGCUAGCAACCUUUGAUCCGGUGAUUUCCGAAUGAGGAAACUCAAUAUGAUUAAUCUCAUAUUAUCUGUCCAGCUUUUUGUACUUUAAAAAUUUAAAGUUUAAAAAGUUGGACAGAAGCGUACCCGGCGAAGUGAAACAUCUCAGUAGCCGGAGGAAAAGAGAACAAAGUUAUCCCCUUAGUAGUGGCGAGCGAACAGGGGGAAGCCUAAACAGAAUCUUUAGAUUCUGGGUUGUAAGGUUGUAGCGUCAGGAGCACUACCUUUUGCUUCGCAAAAGGAAUUAAAAAUUUAAAAUUUUAAAUUUAAAAUUUUUCGCGCGGAGCGCGAGGUAAUGCUUGCUGAGAGAGAAUACAAAAUAAUAGUGUUAAAAGAAGCACCCUGGAAAGGGGCGCCAUAGAGGGUAAUAGCCCCGUAUUCUAAAAUACUUAUUAUGCUCUUUGCUAUGAUUCUUGAGUACUGUCGGGAAUGAUAACCUGGCAGGAAGCAGGCCGAACUAUCGGCCAAGGCUAAAUAAUCAAUAUCACCGAUAGUGAACCAGUACCGUGAGGGAAAGGUGAAAAGUAGGGGGGUGACCCCGGUGAAAUAGUACCUGAAACCAUUUGCUUACAAAGAGUCGGAGCCCCGCCUUUGGCGGGGUGACGGCGUGCUUUUUGCAGAACGAGCCAACGAGUCUGGAUAUAUAAUUGUCUAAGCCCUUUUGGGGCGGAGGCAUAGCGAAAGCGAGUGUUAAAAGCGCGAAUUAUAAUUGUAUAUUCAGGACCCGAAGCGUGACGAGCUUGCCAUGAGCAGGAUGAAUCCCGCCGAAAGGCGGGAGGAGGUCCGAACUAGUGAGGCGUGCAAUCCUCUUGGAUGAUUUGUGGCAAGGAGUGAAAAGCUAAUCGAGUUACGUAAUAGCUGGUUCUUCCCGAAACAGCUUUAGGGCUGGCGUCUAUUAACAGCACACGGGGGUAGAGCACUGAAUAGAAUUCCUUGGAGUUUCUCCAGGUUCUCUAAUCAAACUCCGAAUACCGUGUGUUUUGGAUAGGCAGUUAGACUGCGGGGGCUAAGCUCCGUGGUCAAAAAGGAAACAGCCUAGAUCAUCGUCUAAGGUCCCUAAAUUAGACUAAGUGUUUUUAAGGAAGUAUUUUGCCCUAGACAGGCAGGAAGUUAGCUUAGAGGUAGCUAUCUUUUAAAGAGUGUGUAACAACUCACUGCCCAAAGUCUUUCCUUUGGAAAGGCAGGGGCGAGAUGCGCCAAAGAUUAUCGGGACUAAAGUCUAAUACCGAAGACAUGGAUUACUGCUCCUCACUUUUGUUCGGAGCUCAUCAACGAAUAACGAAUCAAUACGAAUGUACGAAUUAGUAAAUUCGUAACAAAUUCGUAAUUCGAUGAUGAAGCGACGAGCAGUAGCGAGGAGCGGUAGUGGUAGGGAAGCAUUCUGAGGGCACUGAAGCCGAAGUGUAAACGACGGUGGAGCGCUCAGAAGAGAGAAUGUUGGCCUGAGUAACCGCAUUGCAGGUGAAAGCCCUGCACACCGAAAGUCCAAGGUUUCCUUGGCAAUGGUAUUCAACCAAGGGUUAGGCGGUCCUAAGGCAAACCCGAAAGGGGCAGCUGAUGGACAGUCGGUUAAUAUUCCGACCCUCGGAUACAUUUUGAUAGAAAGACGCAUUACAGUAGUUUCAGCGGAUUAUUGGAUUUCACGCUCUUGCACUAAGGUAAAUCAAGGUGCGAGAAAAGCCCCGCCUUUGGCGGGACAAUUGAGAUGAGCGCGAUGCCCAGAAAAAAGCUAUCAAGCUAAUUGUAUUCGAACCGUACCGCAAACCGACACAGGUGGACAAGCGUAAGUAUGCUAAGGUGAACGGGUGAAACCUCGUUAAGGAACUCGGCAAACAAGUGGCCGUAAGUUCGCAAUAUGGCCUUCCCUCCACCGCAAGGUGGUCGGGAUGCAACAAACGUACUUCAAGCGACUGUUUAUCAAAAACACAGCUCCCUGCUAACUCGUAAGAGGAUGUAUAGGGGGUGAGGCCUGACCAGUGUUGGAAUGUUAAGUUUGGGGGUCUGAGCCGUAAGGUUCAGGCUCACUGAAUGAAGCACCAAUGAACGUCGGCGAUAACUAUAAGAUGACGAUUGUAGUUAUAAAACUUCGCUAUAUGCUGGAAACUCUGUAGUAUCUGAUGCUACUAUGUUAUAAUAUAUUAAAGGUGUAUUUACCCCUUUGAUAUUAUGCAAAGUAAAAAAGCAUUCAGUGCAGACAAUCAGCAGGAAAGAAUAGAAAUAUGUGGAUGGAUUACUGGGUUUGUAGAUGGAGAAGGGUCUUUUCUUGUAAAUAUAUUUCAAUCUCCAAGAGCAAAAAAUAAAUGGCAAGUUUUUCCUGAAUUUAAUGUUUCACAAUCAUUAAAAGGAAAAGAUUUGCUUCAUAAAUUAGAAAAAUUUUUUGCUUGCGGACAUAUAUACGCGCACAACGCGAGAAAUAUAAAACAAGGAAAAUGGGACCCUCUCUAUAAAUAUUGCGUCAGAAAUAGAAGCGAAUUGCAAGAAAAAAUUAUUCCUUUUUUCAAAAAUUAUAAAUGUUUUGGCAAAGCCAAAAUAAAUGAUUUUGAAAGAUUUGUUAAAGUUAUUGAAAUGAUGGAUAAGGGAGAACACUUAACAAAAAAGGGAAUGAUAAAAAUUGCAAGAAUCGCAGAAAAAAUGACGCAUCGCAAACCAUUUGAAGAAUCCUCAAUAUACAAAUUUCUAUUAUCCUCAGAGACUAUACGCGAAGCCCGUCAAAAUUAAUUUUUUGAAACGGGAUGAUAUAGUCCGCUCUUUAUGGCGACAUAAAGGCUGUCCCGAGAUUUACCUCUCGAAGGACUAAUAAAAAGAGAGAAAUCGUCCAAAGGUAACAAACGCAAUUGCUUUUGUAAAACUUGGCUAUAUGCUGGAAACUCCGUUGUAUCCGACAUUACCCCGAUUGUAUCGUGGGUGAAAAUAUGUUCGGUGCGGACAAUCAGCAGGGAAGAAUAAAGGAGAAAGCCAUGAAAAAAAGAGAAGUAAGUGAAAGAGUGUAUCAAUUAACGUAUGAGGAACGAUAUAUUGAUUGUAGCGGUGGUAUGAGAUACACGACCUUCCGUGCUUCAAACGAUGCAUCGGCAAAACGAUGCAAGAGUAGAGUUAUGGCUAAACUGAGAAGGGAAAACAAUAGAGCAACAAUCUCUUUUGUUUCCCUUUCAUUGAUUAUUGAAUAAUUAUUCCCCUCAACGACUAUACGCCAAGGCGUAAAUUGACAUUAGGCGGGCAUGCGAAAUGCCUCUACCCGCAUUUUUUUUCAAUGAACGCAAGAUAUAGUCUGAACUGCAUGGCGACAUGCAGAAUGCAGCAGAAAUGACUGCACCGGUGUUAAAAAUGACUUAAUUAACACUAAGUAACAAAAUUGAGCGUAAUCCCUUGCCGGGUAAGUUCCGGCCCGCAUGAAUGGCUUAACGACUUGAAGACUGUCUCAACGAGGCGCCCGGUGAAAAUGCAAUGGCAGUGAAGAUGCUGCCUACCUGCGGCUAGACGGAAAGACCCCGGAAGCUUUACUGUAGUUAGAUAUUGGUUUAUGAUUUUCGAUGCGUAGCGUAGUGGGGAGGAUUUGAAGUCCCGCCUUCGGGCGGGAUGGAUCCGCCAAUGAAACACCCAUCUUUGAAAAUUAUAAUUCUAAUUCCCUUAACUUGGGAUGACAGUGUUUAAUGGGCAGUUUAAGUGGGGCACUUGCCUCCUAAAGAGUAAUGGAGGCGUUUAAAGGUUGGCUAGCUUCGGAUGGAAAUCGAAGCGAUAGGGCAAAGCCAUAAGCCAGCUUUACUGCAAGACGGCUAUGUCGCGCAGUUGCGAAAGCAGAACUUAGUGAACCGACUCAUUUUUAUAGAAAAUGAGAAGAUCAUCAGCCAAAAGCUACUCCGGGGAUAGACUCUGACCUGCCCGCCGAAAGUUAUCGGCGCAGGCGGGAAAAAGAGUUUGUUGUC